UUUAGUUUCAGCCCAAAAUUUCAGAAAAUUUUAUAAAGACCAACUGAGAGGUAAAUCCUUCCUGUUAUCCCUCAAGGAAGAACAUCAAAAUGCAAACUCUUGCGUCCUUCAUAAUCCUACUCUCCUUGCUCAGCCUCAUCAUGAACAUUCAAGCACAGGUCACCUACCGUUAUCAUUUUUGCACAAACUCAACUACGUUCACCAGAAACAGCACCUUCCAGGAAAAUCUAGAUGUUCUUCUCUCUUCCCUUUCAUCCA
rnacentral:lncRNA from 1 species